rnacentral:rRNA from 1 species
AUUGAACGCUGGCGGCAGGCCUAACACAUGCAAGUCGAGCGAGCGGCGGACGGGUGAGUAAUGUCUGGGAAACUGCCUGUUGGAGGGGGAUAAAAACUGGAAAAGGUAGCUAAUACCGCACACCAUCAGCUGUGACCAGAGGGGAUUAGCUAGUGGGUGGGGUAACGGCUCACCUAGGCGACGAUCCCUAGAUGGUCUGAGAGGGUGAUCAGCCACACUGGAACUGAGACACGGUCCAGACUCCUACGGGAGGCAGCAGGGGGGAAUAUUGCACAAUGGGCGCAAGCCGGAUGCAGCCAUGCCGCGUGUGUGAAGAAGGCCUUCGGGUUGUAAAGCACUUUCAGCGGGGAGGCGUUACCCGCAGAAGAAGCACCGGCUAACUCCGUGCCAGCCGCCGCGGUAAUAC